AGAGACAGCAGCAGCCGCGGGAAUACGUAUGUCACAAGCGUUAUCCGGAUUUAUUGGGCGUAAAGCGCGUCUAGGCGGUUAAUUAAGUCUGAUGUGAAAAUGCGGAGCUCAACUCCGUAUUGCGUUGGAAACUGGUUAACUGGAGUACUGGAGAGGUAAGCGGAACUACAAGUGUAGAGGUGAAAUUCGUAGAUAUUUGUAGGAAUGCCGAUGGGGAAGCCAGCUCACUGGACAGAUACUGACGCUAAAGCGCGAAAGCGUGGGUAGCAAACAGGAUUAGAUACCCGCGUAGUCCCUGUCUCUUAUACA
rnacentral:rRNA from 1 species